UACGGAGGGUGCGAGCGUUGUCCGGAAUCACUGGGCGUAAAGGGCGCGUAGGCGGCUUCUCAAGCGUGUGGUGAAAGUCCGGGGCUCAACCCCGGAUCGGCCGUGCGGACUGGGGAGCUCGAGUUCUGUAGAGGCGGGUGGAAUUCCGGGUGUAGCGGUGGAAUGCGUAGAGAUCAGCAGGAACACCCGUGGCGAAGGCGGCCCCCUGGGCCGUACCUGACGCUGAGGCGCGAAGGCUAGGGGAGCGAACGGG
rnacentral:rRNA from 1 species